rnacentral:tRNA from 1 species
GGGAGCGGAUGGGUCCCGGUGGGCCUUGCGGGCUUCAAACCCGUUGGGGGGCACCCUUCGGUGUCCUCGGUGGGUUCGACUCCCUCCCGCUCCCGCCA